rnacentral:rRNA from 1 species
GACGAACGCUGGCGGCGUGCUUAACACAUGCAAGUCGAACGAUGAAGAAGAGAAACGCGCCCUUCGGUUCAAAUUUCACUUCGGAUUAGUGGCAGACGGGUGAGUAACGCGUGAGCAACCUACCUCUUACAAAGGGAUAGCCUCGGGAAACCGUGAUUAAUACCAUAUGACACAUUCAUAAGGCAUCUUAAGAAUGUUAAAGCUACGGCGGUAAGGGAUGGGCUCGCGUCCCAUUAGCUAGUUGGUGAGGUAACGGCCCACCAAGGCGACGAUGGGUAACCGGGCUGAGAGGGUGAGCGGUCACACUGGAACUGGGCCACGGUCCAGACUCCUACGGGAGGCAGCAGUGGGGAAUAUUGCACAAUGGAGGGAACUCUGAUGCAGCGACGCCGCGUGAGCGAUGAAGGAAUGCGUUUAGUAAAGCUCUGUUCUAUGGGAAGAAAAGGACUGUACCAUAGGAGAAAGCCCCGGCUAAAUACGUG